rnacentral:rRNA from 1 species
ACGCUCGACACCUACGGGAGCAGCAGUUAGGAAUAUUGGGCAAUGGAGGGAACUCUGACCCAGCAACGCCGCGUGAAGGAAGAAGGUUUUCGGACUGUAAACUUCUGAUCUAAGGGAAAAAGAAAGUGAUGGUACCUUAGGAGAAAGCCACGGCUAACUACGUGCCUGCAGCCGCGGUAAUCUGAGGCGGGCUGGCAAGGC